UUGCCAGCGGUUAGGCCGGGAACUCAAAGGAGACUGCCAGUGAUAAACUGGAGGAAGGUGGGGAUGACGUCAAGUCAUCAUGGCCCUUACGACCAGGGCUACACACGUGCUACAAUGGCGCAUACAAAGAGAAGCGACCUCGCGAGAGCAAGCGGACCUCAUAAAGUGCGUCGUAGUCCGGAUUGGAGUCUGCAACUCGACUCCAUGAAGUCGGAAUCGCUAGUAAUCGUGGAUCAGAAUGCCACGGUGAAUACGUUCCCGGGCCUUGUACACACCGCCCGUCACACCAUGGGAGUGGGUUGCAAAAGAAGUAGGUAGCUUAACCUUCGGGAGGGCGCUUACCACUUUGUGAUUCAUGACUGGGGUGAAGUCGUAACAAGGUAACCGUAGGGGAACCUGCGGUUGGA
rnacentral:rRNA from 1 species